ensembl:lncRNA
UUUUUUUUUUUUCAGUAAAAUUACUUUAAAAACACUAGAAAUGUUUUAAUAGAACUCUUUUCAUAGCAAUGAGCAUUUGAAAUACUGGAAGUCCAGUACAUACGCAUGAGUCUGAACUGAAAAAGCACUGCGAAGCUAAUGAUCUAUUUGGGAGAAAUGCAAAAAAUCAACCAAAGCACAAACUGCGAAAACUGUGUGUUUAUAUGGUCAGCCUGACAAUUUUGCAUAUUAUUAUUAUAUGGCAUGGGUCAUAAUAAGGCUUUUACUCAUCAGAUUUACAAGAAAGUUCUCCCCUCAAAUCACUAUUUACCUAACGUAUAUUUACUGUUCCUGAAAGCAAUGAAUUUCAACUUUAACACUUUACAUUCUUUUUUAUUGUAAAAUACUUAAGCAAAAGGCUAGACUAGUCCCAUAGCAGCCACUGUGAUCAUGCUAAUGACAUUUUAAAGGUUUUUUACUUGCAGCAGGUGAGCUAGUUAACCCCUAAUACCUCUGCAGAUCUUUCAGACUGCAUAGUAAGGCCAAAAAGCAAACAAUUUAAGAAGCCAGGCUUGAGCAAUUACUCUGAAAUUUCACUUGGAGUUCAACAUGCUUGCCUGAAGAAGGAACAGGCGAGAAGGGAAAAUGACAGCAGUGGCUGAGUAUUAUUACUUCAAGGUUAACAGUAACACUUUUAAGGUUAAGUUUAUAAUCUUAUGACUGGAGAUCAUACUUAUUAAUUCCCAUUAGUGCUAACAAGAAUAAAUUAUCCCCCUCAUCCCCUCCCCAAGCAAAGAAAAAUCAGUGGCAAGAAAAAUGUAACUGCUAGUCUAAUUGAAUACAAAUAUGUUUCAAUGGCUGAAAGUAAUUAACUUGCUUUAUGCUAUAGGAAAUGAAGUUACACAGGUUAUUCAAACUCAGCUACCACAGAUUCCCCUUUUAUGAAUGAUUUCCUCAGUCCACAGACAAUGCACUUGCAGAUAUCUCCAUAAACCUCUGCAGUUCACACUGGAGUAACUCGGGUAACAUCUGCAACUAACCCUGCUGAGGGUUAGCAACCAGGUGAUACCGCUGCUAAUGCUUCUGAAGGAAGCUUUUGUUGUUGUUGAGACUUUAAAAAAAUAAAAAAUAAAAAUACAUAGGAAGCCUCAACACUGUUUUCUUUCCUAUAAUUUUAAACUAAGCAAAAUGCCAGUCUGCUGCUCUGGCAGUUCAUCUCAUGCCAGAAACUUCAUCUGAUGUUCUGCCAGCAUGCUGCUGCCAUGAUUUUUAGUUUCCCUGAAGAUUACAAGGAACGCAGCGUACACAGAUAGAUUUCACCCCAGAUGCUCUCUACGUUACCACCUUCUUAUGAUAGGUUCACAACACGGACAAGCACAAUCAUUUUAAAAGCAAAAAAAGAAAAAAAAGAAAAAAGGGCAAAUAUUUGAUGAAUACCAAGGAAAAACAGCAGGACAGCAGGGCGGGGAAAAGGUUUGUUUCCAAUCAGCAGAACUCCGUUAAAUUGGAAUUUAUCUUGGAUUGAAAGAAUACUUUCAAUAGAUAACCUGCAACUUGCUGAUGGUGCUACCUACGUAACAGGUGGCACUCUCCUACCUGCUGUGGAUGAAAACACCGGCACGGCUACAGUAAGUACUUCUGGCUUGCAGAUUCUGUACUGCUUGCUCCAGUAGGCACCACACUGCAUCAGUCCAACAGCUACGAGCCUUCCCAGGGUAUUUAGGAGCAUUCUGGCUAAGUUGAUGAGAGGUAGCACCAUGCACACAAAGAAUACCUCAGCUUGCUGGGGGCUGAAACUUGGCACGAGUACACCCCAGAGGAAGGUUGGCAUGGUCCCUGGGGUGCUGGGCACCACACAGCAGGCAAGGGCCUGCCAGUUGCUUUUUGACUAGCAAUGCAUGGCUCAGCUUUCCAGCAAGCAGGGCACCUCACUUCAACUUUAGUGGGUGCUUCUCCACCCAGACUUGCUGUCUGAUGAAAAUGGUGCAGGUGAAACCCGCACAAGUUUUCAUCACACAGUAGCUGAAGGAAAUCUUUUGCCUGCUUCCUGAAGACAAGCUUUUUUCCUCCCUAAGUGGAAAGCUUCUUAGCACUGUGCAAAAUCUCUGAGGAGACGCAACGAUUUCAGAAACGCUUUCUGAUCUUUCUCCCAUUCUGGACCCUUGUGCGUGCCACAGGACUGCGUAACUGAAUCACUGUGGUCCCCAGCUGUAGCCAUCUGCAGGACAUGAAAGUCGGCUUCCACAUGGGAUGCGUUCAAUGGAAAUGGCUCCCCACACUGAAGGGAGAAAUUACACUCAGCAACCAAGAGAUGCGGGGAUCUCAGAGAGCUCACGCUUCAUUUUCUAUGUAUCUUCCCUACUAAUCUCUUCAGAGCAAGAACACUGCCUAUAUCAUCACAUAUAGCUGAUAGUGCGCUCAAGGUACCUGGGCAGCUAACUUCUCACUUUCAAAUAACAUUUUUUGAGAGUCCUCCAAGCAAUGCUGGCAGCAAAAGAGCAAGAAGCAGCUUCUCCUCAGUCUCUCGGGGUCUUAAUGUUACAUGGAUUCCAGACUUCUUUUUGACAGCUGCCACAAUGGUGAUCCUGUCACAUCUCUACAGAAUGAUGGAUCACUGUGACUAAUUUCAGUUGUGUAUGUAUAAAUACAGAACAAAUGUGUGCAGAAAAUAUUUUUAAAUAAAAAUUGACAAGAUGCAUUUAUUGUUCUUGAUUUGUACAAAAGCAUAACUUAAAGGCAGACUAGUAUAAACUUACUUUGUGCCAAAUAUUGUAAGUUUUCAUUCCAAAGAGUUUCUGGUUCAAAACUUCUAAGUACAGUUUCCACCUGGGAAAUCUCUUUUUUAGACCACAGAUAACACAGUACUGUAAAAACAAAAUUAUUCAGUCCUUCAACCAAGCAAAAGUUGUGUUCUGCUUUGAGUUCCGGAGUUUUAGCUACUCAGUGAAUGGUUCACAUGAAAAAUGAGCCAUGCUGGACUGACCUGACGAAAAACCCAUUUGCCUACUGCUCAUCUGUAUUCUGAAAAAAGAUGCAUGUUAGCAUCUGUGACAUGCAAUUUUAGCAAAGAUUGAUAAAUAUAUGUCUAAAAGUAGGGAGACGUGAUUGGAUUUCUCUUUGCUAUUUCAUGCCAGCCAGAAGUAGUGCAAGAAAACCUAUGUUACUUGGCUAAUGGAGUCCCAAAUGUCAUGCAGAAGCUCAAUUAUUCCUGAAAUCAAAGAAGGCUUUCACUCUGAUUUUGCAACUGGGUUUUCCUUUGCACAUGUAAUGUUUGCCCAGGAAGCCUGAAGGGUUUCCUCAGUCUUUGCUGCCUGGCUGCACACAGAUUUCCGACUUGGAGGGUGGAACGGCAGUCUUUGCUGACAAAACCUCUACUGACGUUCACCUCCAUGGAAAAACGCUUCCCCAGGACCAAGCAGGAUACCUCCCUGAGAUGCCCUUUCAAGAGUCUCCAAAGCAGGAAAGUUAAAUUUACUUCAGAGGCUACUUUUCUCACAAAACAGUGUGCAGUGCUUCGGCGCUAUCACGAGUGCUAGCACAAAACUGAUUCAUGUUCUUGUCAUCCAGUAUCCAAGUGCGACUUCCUGGAAUGUAAAAAAUGUGGAUGCACUGUGUAGCAGCAGCUGCACAAGAAAGGGUGCGCAGCUGCAUUAGUGUUCCACAAGACCAUCUGGAGGAAAGUACCAAAAAUAGAUGCAAGCAAGCCUUGUGUAUUUCAGCAAAAUUAAGCGUAAAGAAAAUGGUGUCCAUGCAGUGUUUGAUAGGCUAUAAAAAUUCUUUCAAAUAACAUUUGAUAAGAAAACUAUUUAUCAGUGAAAAUGCAAGAAAACUAUCAGUGAAAAUGCAAGACUAAGGUACAGCUUACAUAUUGUGGGAGUUCACUGAUAUGCGACAGUGGCAUUAUGACCAGUGGCUCACCUUAAAGUAGGUUGCUCGUGGAUUUCCACAUGAGCUAGUGUUUUGUGGUGCUGUACAAAUAAAAAGUUGUGGGGAGCAUAUGAAAUGUCUGUAUUAAACUCCACUGCAUUAAGUAAUCCAAUGCAUGAAAAAAUGAUCCAGCUGCAUUUAAAAUAAAUGCAUAUUACAAUAUCACAUAUAGUAUUAUAAAAUUAUUACUUAUGUGCACAGUCCUGAUAUCUAUAGACAUGGCACCAUGAAGAAAGCCUGGUUCCUAAGUGUUUUUAUAGAUACUUGAUAGUGAUGCAGUUUGCUGUCAGUCAGUCAGAUCAUAAUGUCCCUUCAACUUUGGUACAUUCAGUGCAAAAUAUUUUUGGGAGUUUUUUACUCUUAUAAAAAUAAAAGGCAUUUUUUCCCUUGAGAGUGCUUAAAGAAUAAACACCAGCAGAAUGUCUGUUCGAGCAUGGAAGUGACAAAAACAGAAAGAGCAUUUUAGUUUGCUUGUUUCCUGUUUACACUCUAAGAAACAUAAUAUAAUGAACCUAUAAAAAUAAACAGAAGUCACCGUGUUAGAAUUUUUUUCCUGAUAUGCUGUGAUAAAUUGCUAGUUUCUUCUUAAAAUAGUUUCCAUGCAGUAUAAAUCAAAAAAAUCAGUCCUAUUAAGUUAUUCAGUUCACUGUAACAGCUCAUCUUUUGUCAUACACACCACUGGCAAACACAUUUUCACAAACCUCCUUAAUGCAAGCCAUUGCUGUUGCAUCCUUUGCUGACUUUCCUUCCAAUUCACUUCUGCCCCAGGAACUUGAACUCUAUGGUGCACCCCAUGCAGGCACUCGUAGUCUUAGGUUUAUCAAGUACUGGAUAUGCUGUUGUAACACAUGGCAUUAAGUAAUGUACCUUCAUGAAUAUACUAAAAAAAAAAGAAAAAAAAAGAAAAAAAAAAG